CAGCAGCCGCGGUAAUACGGAGGGAGCGAGCGUUGUUCGGAAUCACUGGGCGUAAAGGGCGCGUAGGCGGCUCGGUAAGUGAGAUGUGAAAUCCCCCGGCUCACCCGGGGAACUGCAUCUGAUACUGGUGGACUCGAGGAUGGAAGGGGAUAGCGGAAUUCCAGGUGUAGCGGUGAAAUGCGUAGAUAUCUGGAGGAACACCGGUGGCGAAGGCGCCCCUCUGGUCCGUCUCUGACGCUGAGGCGCGAAAGCUAGGGGAGCAAACGGGAUUAGAUACCCCGGUAGUCCUAGCCGUAAACGGUGGGCACUAGGUGUUGGAGGCAUCGACCCUUCCAGUGCCGCAGCUAACGCAUUAAGUGCCCCGCCUGGGGAGUACGGUCGCAAGACUGAAACUCAAAGGAAUUGACGGGGGCCCGCACAAGCGGUGGAGCAUGUGGUUCAAUUCGACGCAACGCGAAGAACCUUACCCAGGCUUGACAUGCACUGGACCGGUGUGGAAACACACCUUCCCUUCGGGGCUAGUGCACAGGUGCUGCAUGGCUGUCGUCAGCUCGUGUCGUGAGAUGUUGGGUUAAGUCCCGCAACGAGCGCAACCCUUGCCCUUAGUUGCUAACGAAUAAAGUCGAGCACUCUAGGGGGACUGCCGGCGGUAAGCCGGAGGAAGGUGGGGACGACGUCAAGUCCUCAUGGCCCUUAUCGCCUGGGCUACACACGUGCUACAAUGACCGACACAGAGGGCUGCGAUACCGCGAGGUGGAGCUAAUCCCAAAAAGUCGGCCUCAGUUCGGAUUGCAGUCUGCAACUCGACUGCAUGAAGGUGGAAUCGCUAGUAAUCGCUGACCAGCAGGCAGCGGUGAAUACGUUCCCGGGCCUUGUACACACCGCCCGUCAAGCCACGAAAGUUGGCAGUACCCGAAGUCGCCGUGGUAACCCGUAAGGGAGCUAGGCGCCUAAGGUAAGGCUAGCGAUUGGGGCUAAGUCGUAACAAGGUAACCGUA
rnacentral:rRNA from 1 species